GAUUAAGUUAUUAAGGGCGCACGGUGGAUGCCUUGGCACUAGAAGCCGAUGAAGGACGUUACUAACGACGAUAUGCUUUGGGGAGCUGUAAGUAAGCUUUGAUCCAGAGAUUUCCGAAUG
rnacentral:rRNA from 1 species